rnacentral:rRNA from 1 species
AGAGUUUGAUCCUGGCUCAGGAUGAACGCUAGCGGCAGGCCUAAUACAUGCAAGUCGAACGAGAUUAAGGGGCUUGCUCCUUAUGAAAGUGGCGCACGGGUGCGUAACGCGUAUGCAACCUACCUUAAUCAGGGGGAUAGCCCGAAGAAAUUCGGAUUAACACCGCAUAAAAACACAGAGCAGCAUUGCUCAAUGUUCAAAUAUUUAUAGGAUUAAGAUGGGCAUGCGUGUCAUUAGCUAGUUGGCGGGGUAACGGCCCACCAAGGCGACGAUGACUAGGGGAUCUGAGAGGAUGACCCCCCACACUGGUACUGAGACACGGACCAGACUCCUACGGGAGGCAGCAGUAAGGAAUAUUGGUCAAUGGAGGGAACUCUGAACCAGCCAUGCCGCGUGCAGGAAGACGGCCCUCUGGGUUGUAAACUGCUUUUAUUCGGGAAUAAACCACAUUACGAGUAAUGUGCUGAAUGUACCGAAGGAAUAAGGAUCGGCUAACUCCGUGCCAGCAGCCGCGGUAAUACGGAGGAUCCAAGCGUUAUCCGGAUUUAUUGGGUUUAAAGGGUGCGUAGGCGGCUUAUUAAGUCAGGGGUGAAAGACGGUGGCUCAACCAUCGCAGUGCCCUUGAUACUGAUGAGCUUGAAUGGACUAGAGGUAGGCGGAAUGUGACAAGUAGCGGUGAAAUGCAUAGAUAUGUCACAGAACACCGAUUGCGAAGGCAGCUUACUAUGGUUUUAUUGACGCUGAGGCACGAAAGCGUGGGGAUCAAACAGGAUUAGAUACCCUGGUAGUCCACGCCCUAAACGAUGAAUACUCGCUGUUAGCGAUAUACAGUUAGCGGCUAAGCGAAAGCGUUAAGUAUUCCACCUGGGGAGUACGCCCGCAAGGGUGAAACUCAAAGGAAUUGACGGGGGCCCGCACAAGCGGAGGAGCAUGUGGUUUAAUUCGAUGAUACGCGAGGAACCUU